CACGCACACGCCAGGCAGGCAGCGAGUGAAACCCUGUGGCAGUCGUUGAUCACGUUUCAAAGAUUAAAGUCCCUGGUGACCUCAAAUGGUGCAGUUCCCAGGAGAAGCUUUUAUCUCAGAUCAGCAGUAAGGACUGCAUCAAUAAGACUAAUGUGAUCCACGCAGUUCGACACUAAACGAUGUAGGGCUUUUAUUAACUGAGUAAUGAGAAGAGCACAUGUUCUGGGUGGUGAGCAUCCUUCACGGAGUCCGUGGAAGCAGAGUCCUGGGCUUCGGCGUAAGGGGACUUCGAAGAGAUCAUAUUGUGAAUAUGAACUAUCGUACCAUCUGCCAUGGAUAGUCCCAAGCUUGGCUGCAAAAGAAGGAGGGUUGUGCGUGGCUCUAGUAACUCCAUCCCGUAAAUACCCAGUGCUACAGAAAUGCCAACAGAAGCUCUAAAGACCUCAUCCCUGGGAGAGGAAGAAUCUUUGUCUAGAUAAUGUAUGGUCAUGUGGUGAAAGCUGCAAGUUUGUGGAAGCCACAGGACCAAUCGACCCUCUGUCAUCCAGACAUAUCGCAAAGUCGUAUUCUGUACAGCAUACAGAUGAAGACAGAAAACAGAUGAAGCUUUGAACAUUGUGAAGGAGCUGCUAUGAGUAGCUGGUGCAUAUCACAAGUCCUGGAUAUACGACCACUGAUGCCGGGCAGACAAUCUCUGAAGAGUAUUGUUAAUGACUGGGGCCAUCUGUCUUGUAAAGACACUGCCCAGAAGAAGGCAACGGCAAACCACUUCAGUAGAAACAACCAUGAUCAUGGAUAGAAAAAGGAAUAAAAACAACAGCGUGAAGGGGAUCUUCCCCACAGGAACUGAGCAGUGAUGUUCACCGGUUUUCACCCACUCAGGUUACACCCAGGGGCCGUUGGAGGUUUGGCAAGAAUCUCCACACAACAUUACAGUGUGGGGAACAAGGUAGAGACCCUCCAUUUGGAAGCAAACACAUCUCCUCUCAGAAUGUUAAACCUUAGAAGUGUAAAAAUCUACAAGAAGUAGUGGAUACAGCCCAGUACAUCACAGGCAAAGCCCUCCCCACUACUGAGCACAUCCACAAGGAGUGCUCCUGCAAGAAUGCUGGAUAUACUAACAAGGACCCCCACCAUCCAGGCCAUGCUCUCUUCUCACUGCUACCAUCAAAAGCCUUACGUCCCACAGCACCAAGUUUAGGAACUGUCAUUACCCUUCAACCAUCAGGCUGCUGUAGCAGAGUGGAUAGCUUCACUCACCCCACCACUGAACUGAUUCCACAACCUAUUGACUUGCUUUCAAAGGCUCUACUACUCAAUAUUAUUUUUUCAAUAUUUGCACGAUUUGUCUCCUUUUGCAGAUUAGUUGUUUUUCAGCCUUUGUUAUUCUUAGUUUUUCAUAAAUUCUAUUGAAUUUCUUUAUUCAUCUGUAAGAAAACGUAUCUCAAGGUAGUAUAUGAUGACAUACUUGGAUAAUAAAUUUACUUUGAACUAACCGUUAUUGUUAAUGGGGCCAGAAAUGCCAAUGACAUUCCCAUAGCAGCUUUCCAUAAUCAUCAUAAUGGGUUCAACUGACUGAAAAUUAAAACCCAGACCAGGACACUGAGAGUCCACUACUUUCUUUGAGUAAAGUUGUGGGAUCAUUCAUAUUCCUGUAACUGUGCAGAGGUGGGACUCUCGAUUUGGCAUCUUGCAAGUGUCACCGUGCUUCCAUCACCAACAUAGCAUGUCCACAACUUACUAACCCUAACCUGCACGCCUUUGGAAUGUGGGAGCACCAGGAGGGAACCACACGCUCACAGGGAGAAUGCACAAAUUCCAUGCAGUCGGUGGCAGAAAUGAACCCAAGCCGCUGGCUCUUCACGGCCCUAUGCCAGCAUGUGAGCUAUUGUGCCAUCCCAUUGGCUUUCUGUCACUUUUGCAAUGAUGUGAACUUGUGAGGGAGAGAUUCUAAAUUGGAAUAACCAUUGUACUGGGGCAGUUCCAUUCUCUCGAUCUCAGAAGCCCUGUUCCACAAAUGAAGACUUCCUUGGUUGCAGUGGAUGGUCAUAACAUCUCCCAUGCCUUGGCAUCAUCAAUGCUCUCCAUGGAGUGCUGCUGAGCUGUCUUCCUGGUUGUUGUAUCUCACUGGUGAUGUCAUCUGCCCCGUCAGCUGGAACUGACUUCGCACAUCCUUCAUUCACCUGCUGGCUACCCUCACCUGGUUUCGCCUGUCUCUCGAAGCAGUGUACUGGGGUGUGGCUGCUGUCACAUGUAAGCAGUUACUUGGAGCCUCAGGUGAGAGCUGUGUGCCUGGUGGGGACCAAAGAUGGAUGAGCUGUCUCGAGGGGACAGGACAAGCCAUUUCACUAGAGGUGCUACCCAUUCCUGGACACCCGAUACACCCUAAAACUGUGCACCCGUGCCAGUGAUGCCCUACAUUGUCCCUGCACCUCACUGUACUUGUGCACAUCAACAUGAGACUGGAUGAGUGAUACUCUUACUGAACAGUGGAGCAGACUUAGGCCAAGUGACAUACUCCAGCUCCUAUAAGAUGAAAAAUGAGUUUAUUUGUCACUCGUACACUGAGAAAUUGAAACAAUCAAAUACAUCCAUCAAUGACCAGCACAGUCUGGGAACAUGCAGCUCACAAGAGUUAUUGUGCCUCCUGUGCCAACAUAGCAUGUCCACAACUUAGUUACCCCAACUGGCUCGUCUUUGGAAUGUGGGAGGAAAUUGGACUCCCAGAGGAAUCCCACAUGGUCAUGGGAGAACAUAGAAUCCUUUACAGACAGUUGUGAGUAUUAAACCCCAGUUGCUGGUGCUGUAAAGCACUUUGCUAACUGCUACGCUACUGUUUUGCACCUGGCUUUGCUUUGACUGAGUGUAAGUACAAUCCUUGAAGGCAGCUUUUAGAGGGAGGAACUGGAAGUGCACUUGUCUGAAUACCUUUGACCUGCUCGUCAUUUCAGAGUUUUCCUGGAAGGAGUCUACAGAGGUUGCUUUCUCCUCUUCCAAUACAUGGGAGGCCACCUAGAAAGCUAGUGAGGGCAGAGUGUGGCUUUGAAUUGUAAUUAUUGUCUUGUUAGUUUACAGGCUUGCUUCCAUAAUAAUCUGAUGCUACAAAUGGUCUGUUUUCAGAAGAGUCACUGGAAGUUAUUUAUUUAUUUGGAAAUACUGUACGAAACAGGCCAUUCAGCCCAACAAGCCAAGCCAAUGUCAUCCAGCAACGCAUUGAUUGAACUCUAGCCUAACCAUGGGACAAUUUACAAUGACCAUUAAACUACUAACCAGUAUGUCCUUGGACUGUGGGUGGAAACUGGAGCACUUGGAAAAACCCAUCUAUUCCACGGGGAGGAUGUACAGAUGACAUGGGAAUUGAACUCCAAACGCCAAUGUCCCGAGCUGUAACAGUAUAGUGUUAACUGUUAUGCCACCGUGGCACUGUAUGUAACAUAACCAUGUGCUCUUUGACAACUCAUGUAUGGGAUAAUGGUAUAACACUGCAUUAACACAAAGUACACUGCAGAUGCUGUGGUCAAAUCAAUACGCACAAACAAGCUGGAUGAACUCAGCAGGUCGGGCAGCAUCUGUUGAAAUGAGCAGUCAACGUUUCAGGCAAAGACCCUUCGUCAGACCUGAUAACAUUGAUAACACGUGUUGAUAACAUUGAGUUGUUUUGUAUGAGUGGUCACAGGAAGAUUGUACAAACUCCUUACAGGUAGCAGUGGGAAUUGAACCCUGAUUGCUGAACACUGGUGCUGUGAAGCAUGGUGUCCAAAGAGUCCUAUUUAUCAGUCAUAAAUAGAGGUUUACAGUGGGUACACUUCAUGCCAAUAGUGUGACUGCUUUCUUCAGGGCGACAUACUAUUUUCCCAACCUCCCUGUCUAUCAUGAGCACAAUUUCAGACUUAAGGUUUGGCAUUAGGUUAGUGGGUAAAGUGGGUGCACACUUCACCCUCUGAAUCCUGUCUGCCUUUUGGAACGAUAUGGCAAGAGGCCCACUUUUAUCAGGCAACUAGUCUCCUGAAGGACAAAGUUUAAAAAAAGUCUCUAAAACAAAGAAACAAAUAAAGUUAUGAUUAAUAAUCAGAAUGAGUAGUUGUAAUAAUAAAAUAAGGAGU